UUAUUUUCUCGGUUGGUUGCGGCGCUGGCGCGUGGGUAGAGGUUCGCCGCUGACGUGAGCGCCCCGAGUUGGGGGAGAGGACCAGAACCACCUGCUGGAGAAGGGGAGCUACGGGGGCCGGGCAGGGUCCAAACGUCUCACGUAGGCGGCGGUGCCGCGGUCUUCGGGGUUCCCGGGAAGAGAAGGGCUCUUCCAGAGCCAGUGGGAGGAGGGAGGCCUCCCGGGAGAAUAGGACUCCUGGCCAUUCCCCCGCAGUUCAGCGGCUUCACGCGCAUAGUGGAGAGCAGUUAGAGGGCCCUGGAGUGGAAAAGGACCGUGCGACCUGGUGGCCGGGUUCCCAGCCACUCGGGGCUCGGCCUCCUGUUAGUGAAGUAGGGAUGGUCCUGCAAAUCAAGAUUUGAAUAGCAAGACUACACAUCACACCCUUCUCUAAGGAACAGAACGAACAUCGCUCAGUUCUCUGUCGAGUUACAGGACACUUGGACCUUAUCUCCCUUGAUGCUCCAUCAGGUAGUAGCAUUCUCACUUUACAAGCCAGGUUAAGUGACUUACACAAAGCCUCACAGCUAAUCAACGGCAGAGCCGGGACCCAGCUGUACUGAUUUCAAAUUUCUGUGCUGCUUACCACCGCGUCACAUUGUCUCCCUAAAUCACUUUGAUUCAACUAAUAUUAGAGACACACACCCCCAUGGGUAAGAUGCUGCAGGAUUACAGAGGGGAGAUGAAGAUAUCCUUGCCUACAGAGAGUGAGGAAUAAAACAAAGAUGAAACAGUUAUAAUAAAAGACAAACCAUGAUAGGUGCCACGUGAAAAAUACAGAGUACUGCAGAAGAUGAAAGAACUCAGCUCUGGGGGCCAGGAAGGAAGGAGCAUGGAGGAACGAGGCAUUUGGGACUGAGCUUGAAGGAGAUGGGGAUAGUUUUACAGCAAGAAGGAAUAGCGUGAGAACGUAUAUGAGGAUGAAUCAGUGAGCGUCGUGUGCAGGAAAAAGCAAACGGUAAGAUUCUAGGGCAUGUUGAGAAAUGGGAGCGACAGAGGAGAAUGGGACCUGGGAGGCCAAGUGGAAGAAGGUGUAUUUAUUUCAGUACUUUGGGUUUCAUAGUUUACAAGUUUGGGGGAAGAAAAGCAAGACUUUUUGAUCCAUCUGUGAAUGGGUACAGAAAUUAGAGGUGGGAAAAUUGCCAGAGAGACCAGCAAUAGGCCAGCUGAAAGAUAAUGAUGAGUCUAAACUAAAGGUAGGGCAGGAGGAAUUUAAAUAAGCUUAGUUGAAAGAUGGUGUGGAAGCAGAAUCUACAGAAUUUGGCAGUUUAUUAACUGGUUUUACAGCAAGAGGGGAUAGCAUGAGACUAUUUAAAAGUUAAUAUAUGAAGGAGGAAGAGAAAAAGCAAAGAUAGUGGAGGUUUUGAGGUGGUAGAAAUUAUAAAAGAUGGAAAAGAAACAAUAAGAGACAGGAGCAGGAACUGGUUUUUGAGAGAUCCGUUUAGAUUUGGGCAUUUUUAAGGGUUUGAAAUGUUGUCAAAACAGCCAGAUAGAGGUGGACACUAGGAAGUUAGAGAUAAGAGUUUUGAAGUAUGGGAAAGAGAAUUGAACUAGAAAAUAGAUGGGAAGUUAUCAGCCUCGUAGUGAUACCCCUGUGAGAGAAAAGAAGAAAACAAAGGGCAGAAUCUUGGAGAAUGUCUUCUUUAGAACCUUGCUGCUCAAAGUGUGGUCAAUGAGCCAGCAGCACUGGCAUCACCAGGGAGUUUGUUAGAAAGGUGGACUCUCAGCCCUCCCCACACGUGACCUGCUGAAUGAGCAUCUUCAAUUUAACAAGACCCCCAAGUGGUUUGUGUCACAUUAAAGUUUGAGAAUCUCUGACCUACAUGAGAAACGCCAACAAAUAAAGAAUGGAUCUAAACUAGAUGAGAGAAGCCAGCAAAGAGGGAGGAGAAGAACCAGGGUAAUGCAGAAUCACCAAAGCAAGGUAAAUUGGAGUUUCACAAAGGCAGGGGCAGAAGGAAUGAUGACGAACAAUAUCCAAAACCACAGAGGAUGAAAAGCGCAAGGGAACAAGCUGGAUUAUGCAGAUAACCACAGCCCCUGAAGUUGACAGAGCCGCAAGAAAGAAGAUGCCUGGAUGAAGGAGAGCUGUCCACUGACCUGGAACACCCACUCUGGAUUAUUAUAGUUGAGUCCUGGAACAUUGCGGAGAGCAAGGGUUCUGGAUGCCCAUUUUAAUUCUUCUGAAACCAUGCUUGCUUCUUCUGGGUUCAGAACUCCAUCUCCAGCAUCAUGAUCUAAAAAUAUUCCACAAAACAAAAAAAAUUAGAGAUUUUCUCAAAAACAGGCAUCUUACAUGUGAAUAACUGCGAAUUUUUAAUUCAUGGAACAAAGUUGAGAAAUAGUCUUCUAAUGAUUCUGGUACUCCCUGGAAACACAGGAGUGCUUUGGGCCUCUCUGAUACCCUUCCAUGCCUGCCCUCCAUUGGGCUUGCCACUGGGGAAUCACACUCCAAAUCCUAGGUUACGAUGAGCAAGGACAAGGACUCCUACUCUACAGCAAUGAAGGAGAGAAAGGCAACCCAAACUUGGAGGGCCCCUGAUUUUUCAUGAAUGCUGAGUAGCAAUACCAAAAUCUAGAAAAUAUCCAAGAAAUAGUGACUGACGAAUAUAACUUAAAUCCUUGAUUUUUACAACUAUUUCAAAAAACCCUUCUUUCAAAUGAUCCUUCAAUUUUAAGAAACCCAGCAUUAGGCCUACAUAUUUAGAUGAUCACAAAGGUUUCAGAUGUCAACAUUCAGUACUAUAAAGAGAAAUGAUGUUUAAAUUUGUAGUAAAACCAUCAAACCUUAAGGCCUUUCAAUUUCUUUAAAAAUUCUAAAUAAAUGUGGGAUAUAUAAGCAUCUUGACCCCUUUUUAUAAGAAAACUCUGUCCCUCAAAAA